AGAGUUUGAUCCUGGCUCAGAAUGAACGCUGGCGGCGUGCUUAACACAUGCAAGUCGCACGAGAACGCUUCAGCUUGCUGGAGCUAGUAAAGUGGCGCACGGGUGAGUAACGCGUGGGUAAUCUACCUCUGAAUUGGGGAUAACAUUGCGAAAGCGAUGCUAAUACCGGAUAAUAUCCUUCGUACCUCGGUUGUAAGGAUCAAAGGUGGCCUCUACAUGUAAGCUAUUGUUUGGAGAUGAGCCCGCGUACCAUUAGCUUGUUGGUAGGGUAAUGGCCUACCAAGGCAACGAUGGUUAGCUGGUCUGAGAGGAUGAUCAGCCACACUGGAACUGACACACGGUCCAGACUCCUGCGGGAGGCAGCAGUGAGGAAUUUUGCGCAAUGGGGGAAACCCUGACGCAGCAACGCCGCGUGAGUGAUGAAGGCUUUCGGGUCGUAAAGCUCUGUCAAGUGGGAAGAACCCGUACCGAACCAAUAAUUCGGUGCGCUGACGGUACCACUGAAGGAAGCACCGGCUAACUCCGUGCCAGCAGCCGCGGUAAUACGGGGGGUGCAAGCGUUAUUCGGAAUCAUUGGGCGUAAAGAGCGCGUAGGCGGUCUUUUAUGUCAGGUGUGAAAGCCCGGGGCUUAACCCCGGAAGUGCACUUGAAACUGAAAGACUUGAGUAUGGGAGAGGGAAGUGGAAUUCCUGGUGUAGCGGUGAAAUGCGUAGAUAUCAGGAGGAACACCGGUGGCGAAGGCGACUUCCUGGACCAAUACUGACGCUGAGGCGCGAAGGCGUGGGGAGCAAACAGGAUUAGAUACCCUGGUAGUCCACGCAGUAAACGAUGAACACUAGUGUAGCGGGUAUUGACCCCUGCUGUGCCGCAGUUAACGCAUUAAGUGUUCCGCCUGGGGGAGUACGGCCGCAAGGCUAAACUCAAGAUGACGGGGGCCCGCACAGCCGGGGGAGCAUGUGGAUUAAUUCGACGCACGCGAGACUACUGGAUUGGACUCCGGAUCUCUAUGAAUAAGAGAGGUGUCCCCUCG
rnacentral:rRNA from 1 species